GAUGAACGCUGGCGGCGUGCCUAAUACAUGCAAGUCGAGCGAACGGACGAGAAGCUUGCUUCUCUGAUGUUAGCGGCGGACGGGUGAGUAACACGUGGAUAACCUACCUAUAAGACUGGGAUAACUUCGGGAAACCGGAGCUAAUACCGGAUGAUAUUUUGAACCGCAUGGUUCAAAAGUGAAAGACGGUCUUGCUGUCACUUAUAGAUGGAUCCGCGCUGCAUUAGCUAGUUGGUAAGGUAACGGGUUACCAAGGCAACGAUGCAUAGCCGACCUGAGAGGGUGAUCGGCCACACUGGAACUGAGACACGGUCCAGACUCCUACGGGAGGCAGCAGUAGGGAAUCUUCCGCAAAGGGCGAAAGCCUGACGGAGCAACGCCGCGUGAGUGAUGAAGGUCUUCGGAGCGUAAAACUCUGUUAUUAGGGAAGAACAUAUGUGUAAGUAACUGUGCACAUCUUGACGGUACCUAAUCAGAAAGCCACGGCUAACUACGUG
rnacentral:rRNA from 1 species